GAGGGCGGGAUAGAUGGCUGGCGCGCGCGCGGCGCGGGCUGUACCUGCUUCAAGUGGUUGAGGUCGCGGCGGUAACGGGCCUCGGCGGUCUCCGGCUUGUCGUGGGCCUGGUAGCGCAAGGCAGAGCGGAGUUUAAGAUGGUCUCGGAUGUCCUUGGGCCUAACAUCGUGGAGCCGGCGGCGGCCUCUGGCCGGGACUAACCUGAGGGCUCCAGUUGCAGAGCCUGCGGAACUAACAUCGCGGAGCUGGCCAACUUCGGAGCGGGAAGAGCUGUGGUGGCGGGCUGUGACCCGACUUUUGGAGUUCCGAGGCACCGGCCGCAGACCCGGUGGACGGGAACAUCGGGAGUUCGCAGGUCCCUGGUGGGAGACCGCUUUUCCGAGCUCUGCAACGCGACUUCUCCCACUAGAAUCGCGGGUUUAAGGACAUGGAGCCGGGGCCUAACAUCGCCCGGCGUGGCUUAAUCAGCCUCAGGACUUACCAUCGCCCGCUGGGGCUUUAACAUCGGAGCCCCAGUUCGCCUCGACACUGCAGUUGGACUGCUGAACCGCAGAAGAAGAAACAAAGGGAAGAGAUAAAGACUUUGCCUUCCAUCACAGUGAGGAGAUGUUGGAGACUCGCUGUGAUGGAUGUUUAUGUAAACUGUUAAGUGUGGGUCUUGGAUUGUUUUGUAAUGUAAAAAACUAGAAAUGCAAUUUUGUUCAAACCUAGGUUUGAAUGACAAUAAAUAGCAUACUGUUCUA